CAGUCGCCACGGUAAUACGUAGGUGGCAAGCGUUGUCCGGAAUUAUUGGGCGUAAAGGGCUCGCAGGCGGUUUCUUAAGUCUGAUGUGAAAGCCCCCGGCUCAACCGGGGAGGGUCAUUGGAAACUGGGAAACUUGAGUGCAGAAGAGGAGAGUGGAAUUCCACGUGUAGCGGUGAAAUGCGUAGAGAUGUGGAGGAACACCAGUGGCGAAGGCGACUCUCUGGUCUGUAACUGACGCUGAGGAGCGAAAGCGUGGGGAGCGAACAGGAUUAGAUACCCGCGUAGUCCCUGUCUCUUAUAA
rnacentral:rRNA from 1 species